AUUGAACGCUGGCGGCAGGCCUAACACAUGCAAGUCGAGCGGAUGAAGGGAGCUUGCUCCUGGAUUCAGCGGCGGACGGGUGAGUAAUGCCUAGGAAUCUGCCUGGUAGUGGGGGAUAACGUCCGGAAACGGGCGCUAAUACCGCAUACGUCCUGAGGGAGAAAGUGGGGGAUCUUCGGACCUCACGCUAUCAGAUGAGCCUAUGUCGGAUUAGCUAGUUGGUGGGGUAAAGGCCUACCAAGGCGACGAUCCGUAACUGGUCUGAGAGGAUGAUCAGUCACACUGGAACGGAGACACGGUCCAGACUCCUACGGGAGGCAGCAGUGGGGAAUAUUGGACAAUGGGCGAAAGCCUGAUCCAGCCAUGCCGCGUGUGUGAAGAAGGUCUUCGGAUUGUAAAGCACUUUAAGUUGGGAGGAAGGGCAGUAAGUUAAUACCUUGCUGUUUUGACGUUACCAACAGAAUAAGCACCGGCUAACUUCGUG
rnacentral:rRNA from 1 species